GGUAACAGGCCUUCGGGUGCUGACGAGCGGCGGACGGGUGAGUAAUGCUUGGGAACUUGCCUUUCGGAGGGGGAUAACCAUUGGAAACGAUGGCUAAUACCGCAUAACGUCUACGGACCAAAGUGGGGGAUCUUCGGACCUCACACCGAGAGAUAGGCCCAAGUGAGAUUAGCUAGUUGGUGGGGUAAAGGCUCACCAAGGCGACGAUCUCUAGCUGUUCUGAGAGGAUGAUCAGCCACACUGGGACUGAGACACGGCCCAGACUCCUACGGGAGGCAGCAGUGGGGAAUAUUGCACAAUGGGGGAAACCCUGAUGCAGCCAUGCCGCGUGUGUGAAGAAGGCCUUCGGGUUGUAAAGCACUUUCAGUGGUGAGGAAGGCUAUCGUGUUAAUAGCACGGUAGAUUGACGUUAGCCACAGAAGAAGCACCGGCUAACUCCGUGCCAGCAGCCGCGGUAAUACGGAGGGUGCGAGCGUUAAUCGGAAUUACUGGGCGUAAAGCGUACGUAGGCGGCUCAUUAAGCAAGAUGUGAAAGCCCCGGGCUCAACCUGGGAAUGGCAUUUUGAACUGGUGAGCUCGAGUUUUGAAGAGGGUGGUAGAAUUUCCAGUGUAGCGGUGAAAUGCGUAGAUAUUGGAA
rnacentral:rRNA from 1 species